CGCAACGUUGAAUCGUGAAAUCCUGGGAAGGCUGUUUUCGUGUGGUUCCUUGAUAAAUCUGAUACUCAAGCACCAUAUGAAAUCAGUAUUCCCACGGGAGACACAUCAGACCAUUUAGC
rnacentral:precursor_RNA from 10 species